AUGAGACUCCGAAGACUUCAAGGACAUCCAUCAAGACACCAACCUCCACGUCACAAAAGCCCAAUUGCCCCCCCAAUGUCUAUAACUCAAAACCUGACUGUGGAUCAAUACAACAUGUGUCCUCUCCCUCAUCAGCACAUUCCCAAAGAGAGAUUCCUAAAUCUUCACCCUCGCCUGUCUCGUUUCCGCCUGAUGUUUCUCCUUUUACUAGAACCAGAUCUCCAAUCCCAGAAGAGCAUCUCUCCCCCUUCUCCAUCCAUGUCCUCCUCCCUCAGAUCUACGUUCACAGUCUCACCGUCAAGCUCCACUGAAUCAACCUUAUUGCCCAACAUUUACCAAUCUACGCUAUUACAGAAAGGCUCAGACCUGUCUCUGUUACCAGAGCCGCCCCAAUCAUCCCAGUUAUUCCCACAACCAAUCUCAUCACUGGAGAUUUCCCAAUUGCCCCCAAGGCAAUCCCAACAAUCGUGCUGUGACCCAGAGUCUCUGCUAUCAGACAAUCAGCUCCAGCUGCCUCGGUCACCUGCGUUGUCUUCCAGUCCAACCCCCCCACCAAAAUAUGUGACACCAAGUCCACCUGUAAAGAAACUAUCCAGUGUGUCUGUAUUUAACGAGUCCCCUCUAGAUGCAUAUUGUAGUCAUGAGUCAACUUUAACAGAGGAUUCUUCAGUUUGUAUGUCCUCCACCGACAUCUCUGGUGACCACGAGUCCACUCAGGAUACGCGGUGUAUCCCGCCACUUCCAUCGCAUUUCUCACAUGGCAUCCAGAAUCCUCCUUUAGAUGUAGGAAUGGAGGAGGAAGAGGAGGAAGAGGAGCUAUCGAUAGACAGCGGGGAUGAAAUGUCCAGCGACAGCCUGGGUCUGGCUCCGCACGAGGAAGACUCUUCAGACGAAGAAGCACAGACGCACGCACGUUUAACGAGCGGGAGAUCCGGAGAAGAAAAGCGAUGGAAUCCUGCCUCAUCUCAGACCGAAGAUCUCUUUGUUCCUGAAGAUGCAGACAGAGAAGAAGAGUUGCAGACGGAUGAGCGAGAACAGCCGUCAGAUCCAUCCACGGUGAUGCGCCACCAGAGUGCUGGGUCUCCAUCAGAGCGGUUCUGUGAUCCGGAAGGGUUUCCGCCUCAGGGUUUGGACAGGACUUCUGGUCUCUCCGACACACAAGAACACACACGUUGUGACCCCCCGCUGCACACAUGCCGAGCUCCCCCGCGUGAUUCAGAGCCAACAGGGUCUGGCAAGUCCACACCAACUCCGUCUCAACAACUCACCGUCCAAAGACAAACCCACGCCAUCUCUCGUUCUCCAUCUCCUCCACUCUCUGCCUGCCUGUCCCGUCCCACAUCGGGCUCAGAAUUGGGUCCAGCAUUUCAUCCGUUGUCCCGGGCUGCCCAGGAGAUCAUGGAGAUCUGUGGCGUGGACCAGACGGGCUGUGAGGACCCUGACCUGGACACUGACACGACUGCACACACACUCCACUGUCUGGAGCAGGAACUCAGAUUCAUGGCCGACGCGAAGCAGGAAACAGUAUUUGGCACUGGAAGCAGUGAUAGUCCGGAUCAGCAUGGACAUCUUCGUUUGUCGCGGGGCAGAGCCAGCGAGGAACAAAAGGAUGAGGAGGCGGCUGCACAGAGGGACUGGCAGAGUGUCCUCUUACUACCCUGAGAUAUUCACACACACGUAACACGAGCACACACACUUACUUGUUAAAUAAGGAAGAAGACUUGAACACAGAGAUAUAAGAGACUGAAGUGAGAGAAACACACAAGAUGUAAUUUGAAUUGCGUGUGGCGUAAAGGCUGGAGCAGAUCUCUUGGAUCUCUUGCGCAAAUAGAUGAAGAUAAAAAUGUAAUGGUUUGAAAGACAUUGCUGAUAACGAUUAAAUGCUGUUUUAAUUUGAGGUAUGAUUUGUGUCUCUUUCUGUCCAUGUUUUCUGUGCACAAU
ensembl:lncRNA uncharacterized LOC115017959